rnacentral:rRNA from 1 species
AUUAGCUAGUUGGUGGGGUAAAGGCCUACCAAGGCGAUGAUCGGUAGCUGGUCUGAGAGGAUGAUCAGCCACACUGGGACUGAGACACGGCCCAGACUCCUACGGGAGGCAGCAGCAAGGAAUUUUGCGCAAUGGGGGAAACCCUGACGCAGCAACGCCGCGUGGGUGAAGAAGGCCUUCGGGUUGUAAAGCCCUUUUGAAGGGGAAGAUAAUGACGGUACCCUUCGAAUAAGCCUCGGCUAACUACGUGCCAGCAGCCGCGGUAAUACGUAGGAGGCGAGCGUUAUCCGGAUUUAUUGGGCGUAAAGGGCGCGCAGGCGGCAUAAUAAGUCAGGUGUGAAAUCUCCCGGCUCAACUGGGAGGGUGCAUUUGAUACUGUUAAGCUGGAGUGCAGCAGAGGGAGAUGGAAUUCCCGGUGUAGUGGUGAAAUGCGUAGAUAUCGGGAGGAACACCAGUGGCGAAAGCGGUCUUCUGGGCUGUAACUGACGCUGAGGCGCGAAAGCGUGGGGAGCGAACCGGAUUAGAUACCCGGGUAGUCCACGCUGUAAACGAUGGAC